rnacentral:rRNA from 1 species
UACGUAGGGUGCGAGCGUUGUCCGGAAUUACUGGGCGUAAAGAGCUCGUAGGCGGUUUGUCGCGUCGUCCGUGAAAACUUGGGGCUCAACCCCCAAGCUUGCGGGCGAUACGGGCAGACUUGAGUACUGCAGGGGAGACUGGAAUUCCUGGUGUAGCGGUGAAAUGCGCAGAUAUCAGGAGGAACACCGGUGGCGAAGGCGGGUCUCUGGGCAGUAACUGACGCUGAGGAGCGAAAGCGUGGGUAGCAAACAGG